UCAACAACACUGGAAACAUGAAUAGCCCAAGUGGGCAAAGAUAAUGCGUUGGCGGGUUCACUGAGUUGACCCAGCAACGGUAAACCCGAAGCUGAGGCGGGUCCCGCUAAGGAGGCCAAACCCACGCCAAUUAUACCUGCAACGGUGCCAUUAUCGGAAGAUUUUCGUGCAACGGGGCGGUUUUGAGAAGCAGCGAGAGUGCGUUUAUGUGGAAGAGAGAGAGGAAAAAAAGGGGUCUGUUUGUUAGAGAAAAUAGAGUUCGCAGAGAACAAAGAAAAGGCGGCUGUUGCUGUUGCCAUUGGUGAUUUGGGAGCGGGCAAAAUUUUGCCCCUUUUUCAGUUAAUGACCAAAGAUCGUUAAAAUUA
rnacentral:misc_RNA from 1 species